rnacentral:rRNA from 1 species
CUACGGGUCGCAGCAGUGGGGAAUAUUGGACAAUGGGGGAAACCCUGAUCCAGCAAUGCCGCGUGUGUGAAGAAGGCCUGCGGGUUGUAAAGCACUUUCGGUUGGGAGGGCUGCUUCUAGCACUAAUAUUGUUGGAAGUUGACGUUACCUCCAGAAGAAGCACCGGCUAACUCCGUGCCAGCAGCCGUGGUAAUACGGAGGGUGCAAGCGUUAAUCGGAAUUACUGGGCGUAAAGCGCGCGUAGGCGGCUAGAUCAGUCGGGUGUGAAAGCCCCGGGCUUAACCUGGGAACUGCAUCCGAUACUGUCUAGCUUGAGUACAGGAGAGGAGAGUGGAAUUCCACGUGUAGCGGUGAAAUGCGUAGAUAUGUGGAGGAACACCAAUGGCGAAGGCAGCUCUCUGGCCUGAUACUGACGCUGAGGUGCGAAAGCGUGGGGAGCAAACAGGAUUAGAUACCCGCGUAGUC